rnacentral:rRNA from 1 species
GACGAACGCUGGCGGCGUGCUUAACACAUGCAAGUCGAACGGAAAGGCCCUGCUUUUGUGGGGUGCUCGAGUGGCGAACGGGUGAGUAACAAGUGAGUAACCUGCCCUUGACUUUGGGAUAACUUCAGGAAACUGGGGCUCAUACCGGAUAGGAGCUCCUGCUGCAUGGUGGGGGUUGGAAAGUUUCGGCGGUUGGGGAUGGACUCGCGGCUUAUCAGCUUGUUGGUGGGGUAGUGGCUUACCAAGGCUUUGACGGGUAGCCGGCCUGAGCGGGUGACCGGCCACAUUGGGACUGAGAUACGGCCCGGACUCCUACGGGAGGCAGCAGUGGGGAAUAUUGCACAAUGGGCGGAAGCCUGAUGCAGCAACGCCGCGUGCGGGAUGACGGCCUUCGGGUUGUAAACCGCUUUCGCCUGUGACGAAGCGUGAGUGACGGUAAUGGGUAAAGAAGCACCGGCUAACUACGUG